UGGGGAAUCUUGGACAAUGGGGGCAACCCUGAUCCAGCCAUGCCGCGUGAGUGAUGAAGGCCUUAGGGUCGUAAAGCUCUUUCGCCUGUGAAGAUAAUGACGGUAGCAGGUAAAGAAACCCCGGCUAACUCCGUGCCAGCAGCCGCGGUAAUACGGAGGGGGUUAGCGUUGUUCGGAAUUACUGGGCGUAAAGCGCACGUAGGCGGACCAGAAAGUUGGGGGUGAAAUCCCGGGGGCUCAACCCCGGAACUGCCUCCAAAACUAUUGGUCUAGAGUUCGAGAGAGGUGAGUGGAAUUCCAAGUGUAGAGGUGAAAUUCGUAGAUAUUUGGAGGAACACCAGUGGCGAAGGCGGCUCACUGGCUCGAUACUGACGCUGAGGUGCGAAAGUGUGGGGAGCAAACAGGAUUAGAUACCCUGGUAGUCCACACCGUAAAACGAUGAAUGCCAGUCGUCGGGUAGCAUGCUAUUCGGUGACACACCUAACGGAUUAAGCAUUCCGCCUGGGGAGUACGGUCGCAAGAUUAAAACUUAAAGGAAUUG
rnacentral:rRNA from 1 species